rnacentral:rRNA from 1 species
GACGAACGCUGGCGGCGUGCUUAACACAUGCAAGUCGAACGGAAAGGCCCUGCUUGCAGGGUACUCGAGUGGCGAACGGGUGAGUAACACGUGGGUGAUCUGCCCUGCACUUCGGGAUAAGCUUGGGAAACUGGGUCUAAUACCGGAUAGGAACCAUCUUUAGUGUGGUGGUUGGAAAGUUUUUUCGGUGUAGGAUGAGCUCGCGGCCUAUCAGCUUGUUGGUGGGGUAAUGGCCUACCAAGGCGGCGACGGGUAGCCGGCCUGAGAGGGUGUACGGCCACAUUGGGACUGAGAGACGGCCCAGAGUACUACGGGAGGCAGCAGUGGGGAAUAUUGCACAAUGCGCGCAAGCCUGAUGCAGCGACGCCGCGUGGGGGAUGAAGGCCUUCGGGUUGUAAACUCCUUUCGCUAGGGACGAAGCUUUGUUGUGACGGUACCUAGAUAAGAAGCACCGGCUAACUACGUG